CCAAUAGCGUAUAUUAAAGUUGUUGCAGUUAAAAAGCUCGUAGUUGAAUUUCGGGGUUCUACCGUUGGUCGGGCUAUUGUCUGUACUGGCGUGUAGAAUUUCUACCUUCUGGGGAACUAUCAUGUUAUUAAUUUAGCGUGGUAGGAAACCAGGACCUUUACCUUGAAAAAAUUAGAGUGUUCAAAGCAGGCUUAUGUCUGAAUACAUUAGCAUGGAAUAAUAAAAUAGGACGGUGGUCCUGUUUUGUUGGUUUCUGAAUCACCGUAAUGAUUAAUAGGGAUAGUUGGGGGCAUUAGUAUUCAAUUGUCAGAGGUGAAAUUCUUGGAUUUAUUGAAGACUAACUACUGCGAAAGCAUUUGCCAAGGAUGUUUUCAUUAAUCAAGAACGAAAGUUAGGGGAUCGAAGACGAUCAGAUACCGUCGUAGUCUUAACCAUAAACUAUGCCGACUAGGGAUCGGACGAUGUUAAUUUUUCUUGACUCGUUCGGCGCCUUACG
rnacentral:rRNA from 1 species